AUCUUGGGAAUAGGAGCUCUUAGCAGUACACCCUUCAUGAUUGACAAAUGGCUCAAAACCGCCUCAUCUAGUCAAGCUCAUUAGUUGUGCUUGUGUGUAACACUAAAAAUAAAAUGUUACAACCCACUUCAA